rnacentral:SRP_RNA from 1 species
GCCUGGUUUGGAAGACGAAGGCGAAGAGGCGGCCGACAGGUGGAACCUCCGCAAGGACGGAAACAGGGAGCAGCUAGAGCCCAUCCACCAGAGGCUCUUGGAGGACCGCGAGC